GACGAGGGGUCCUAGCGUUGUUCGGAAUCACUGGGCGUAAAGCGUAUGUAGGCGGCUUUUCAAGUCAGGUGUGAAAUCCCAUGGCUUAACCAUGGAACUGCAUUUGAAACUGUAAAGCUUGAGUAUUGGAGAGGAUGGUAGAAUUCCUGGUGUAGUGGUGAAAUACGUAGAUAUCAGGAGGAAUACCGGUGGCGAAGGCGGGUCUCUGGGCCGAUACUGACGCUGAGGAGCGAAAGCGUGGGGAGCAAACAGG
rnacentral:rRNA from 1 species